rnacentral:misc_RNA from 1 species
AAAGUCGUAACAAGGUAACCGUAGGUGAACCUGCGGUUGGAUCAUUAAAAAAUCUAGAAGGUCUUCAAGACCUUUCUAACAUCUUGUGAAACGUUUAAUGUCUCUGGCAGAUUCUGUCUGCCGAAUAAACUUUGUAUUAAUUUUGGUCUAAAACAUAUAAAAAAGUAAUUAAAACAACUUUUGACAACGGAUCUCUAGGCUCUC